rnacentral:rRNA from 1 species
AUUGAACGCUGGCGGAAUGCUUUACACAUGCAAGUCGAACGGCAGCACGGGGCAACCUGGUGGCGAGUGGCGAACGGGUGAGUAAUACAUCGGAACGUGCCCAAUCGUGGGGGAUAACGUAGCGAAAGUUACGCUAAUACCGCAUACGAUCUACGGAUGAAGCGGGGGAUCGCAAGACCUCGCGCGAAUGGAGCGGCCGAUGUCAGAUUAGGUAGUUGGUGGGGUAAAGGCUCACCAAGCCGACGAUCUGUAGCUGGUCUGAGAGGACGACCAGCCACACUGGGACGGAGACACGGCCCAGACUCCUACGGGAGGCAGCAGUGGGGAAUUUUGGACAAUGGGCGCAAGCCUGAUCCAGCCAUUCCGCGUGCAGGAUGAAGGCCUUCGGGUUGUAAACUGCUUUUGUACGGAACGAAACGGUGAGCUCUAAUACAGUUUGCUAAUGACGGUACCGUAAGAAUAAGCACCGGCUAACUACGUGCCAGCAGCCGCCGUAAUAC